rnacentral:rRNA from 1 species
GACGAACGCUGGCGGCGUGCUUAACACAUGCAAGUCGAACGGAAAGGCCCUGCUUUUGUGGGGUGCUCGAGUGGCGAACGGGUGAGUAACACGUGAGUAACCUGCCCUUGACUUUGGGAAAACUUCAGGAAACUGGGGCUAAUACCGGAUAGGAGCUCCUGCUGCAUGGUGGGGGUUGGAAAGUUUCGGCGGUUGGGGAUGGACUCGCGGCUUAUCAGCUUGUUGGUGGGGUAGUGGCUUACCAAGGCUUUGACGGGUAGCCGGCCUGAGAGGGUGACCGGCCACAUUGGGACUGAGAUACGGCCCAGACUCCUACGGGAGGCAGCAGUGGGGAAUAUUGCACAAUGGGCGGAAGCCUGAUGCAGCAACGCCGCGUGCGGGAUGACGGCCUUCGGGUUGUAAACCGCUUUCGCCUGUGACGAAGCGUGAGUGACGGUAAUGGGUAAAGAAGCACCGGCUAACUACGUGCCAGCAGCCGCGGUGAUACGUAGGGUGCGAGCGUUGUCCGGAUUUAUUGGGCGUAAAGGGCUCGUAGGUGGUUGAUCGCGUCGGAAGUGUAAUCUUGGGGCUUAACCCUGAGCGUGCUUUCGAUACGGGUUGACUUGAGGAAGGUAGGGGAGAAUGGAAUUCCUGGUGGAGCGGUGGAAUGCGCAGAUAUCAGGAGGAACACCAGUGGCGAAGGCGGUUCUCUGGGCCUUUCCUGACGCUGAGGAGCGAAAGCGUGGGGAGCGAACAGGCUUAGAUACCCUGGUAGUCCACGCUGUAAACGGUGGGUACUAGGUGUGGGGUCCAUUCCACGGGUUCCGUGCCGUAGCUAACGCUUUAAGUACCCCGCCUGGGGAGUACGGCCGCAAGGCUAAAACUCAAAGGAAUUGACGGGGCCCCGCACAAGCGGCGGAGCAUGCGGAUUAAUUCGAUGCAACGCGUAGAACCUUACCUGGGUUUGACAUGGAUCGGGAGUGCUCAGAGAUGGGUGUGCCUCUUUUGGGGUCGGUUCACAGGUGGUGCAUGGCUGUCGUCAGCUCGUGCCGUGAGAUGUUGGGUUAAGUCCCGCAACGAGCGCAACCCUUGUUCACUGUUGCCAGCACGUUAUGGUGGGGACUCAGUGGAGACCGCCGGGGUCAACUCGGAGGAAGGUGGGGAUGACGUCAAGUCAUCAUGCCCCUUAUGUCCAGGGCUUCACGCAUGCUACAAUGGCUGGUACAGAGAGUGGCGAGCCUGUGAGGGUGAGCGAAUCUCGGAAAGCCGGUCUCAGUUCGGAUUGGGGUCUGCAACUCGACCUCAUGAAGUCGGAGUCGCUAGUAAUCGCAGAUCAGCAACGCUGCGGUGAAUACGUUCCCGGG